UACAGAGGUCCCAAGCGUUGUUCGGAAUUACUGGGCGUAAGGAGUGUGUAGGCGGUGUUCUAAGUUUGUCGUGAAAUCUCCCGGCUUAACUGGGAGGGUGCGGCGAAAACUGGAAUGCUAGAGGAUGGGAGAGGUAAGCGGAACUCCUGGUGUAGCGGUGAAAUGCGUAGAUAUCAGGAGGAACACCUGUGGUGUAGACAGCUUACUGGACCAUUUCUGACGCUGAGACACGAAAGCGUGGGUAGCAAACAGG
rnacentral:rRNA from 1 species